GGAAAUUUAUUUUCAGUGUCGCAGGGAAACCGAUAAACACACCGCCUGGGGAGUACGACCGCAAGGUUAAAACUCAAAUGAAUUGACGGGGACCCGCACAAGUAGUGGAGCAUGUGGUUUAAUUCGAAGAUACGCGCAGAACCUUACCAACACUUGACAUGUUCGUCGCGACUCUAAGAGAUUAGAGUUUUCGGUUCGGUCGGACGAAACACAGGUGCUGCAUGGCUGUCGUCAGCUCGUGUCGUGAGAUGUUGGGUUAAGUCCCGCAACGAGCGCAACCCUCACUUUUAGUUGCCAUCAUUAAGUUGGGCACUCUGAAAGAACUGCCAGUGAUAAGCUGGAGGAAGGUGGGGAUGACGUCAAGUCCUCAUGGCCCUUACGUGUUGGGCUACACACGUGCUACAAUGGUAUCUACAACAGGAAGCAAGACUGCGAAGUUAAGCAAAUCCCUAAAAGAUACCUCAGUUCGGAUUGCACUCUGCAACUCGAGUGCAUGAAGCUGGAAUUACUAGUAAUCGUGGAUCAGCGUGCCACGGUGAAUGCGUUCCCGGGUCUUGUACACACCGCCCGUCACACCAUGGGAGUUGGUUCUACCUUAAGGCAAGGUUUCAAACCCUUGACCACGGUAUAGUCAGCGACUGGGGUGAAGUCGUAACAAGGUAACCGUA
rnacentral:rRNA from 1 species